rnacentral:rRNA from 1 species
UGCGCAGGCGGUUAGGCAAGUUUGAUGUGAAAGCCCCGGGCUUAACCUGGGACGUGCAUUGAAUACUGCUUAACUAGAGUACGUUAGAGGGGGGUGGAAUUCCACGUGUAGCAGUGAAAUGCGUAGAGACGUGGAGGAACACCGAUGGCGAAGGCAGCCCCCUGGGAUGAUACUGACGCUCAAGCACGAAAGCGUGGGUAGCAAACA